GACGAACGCUGGCGGCGUGCCUAAUACAUGCAAGUCGAACGAAGCUGUUUUAACUGGUGCUUGCACCGACUUAAACAACUGAGUGGCGAACGGGUGAGUAACACGUGGGUAACCUGCCCCAAAGCGGGGGAUAACAUUUGGAAACAGAUGCUAAUACCGCAUAACCACAGAAACCACAUGGUUUCUGUGUCAAAGAUGGUUUCGGCUAUCACUUUGGGAUGGACCCGCGGCGUAUUAGCUAGUUGGUAAGGUAAUGGCUUACCAAGGCAAUGAGACGUAGCAGAACUGGGAGGUUGAUCGGCCACAUUGGGACUGAGACACGGCCCAAACUCCUACGGGAGGCAGCAGUAGGGAAUCUUCCACAAUGGACGAAAGUCUGAUGGAGCAACGCCGCGUGAGUGAAGAAGGUUUUCGGAUCGUAAAACUCUGUUGUCAGAGAAGAACGUGUGCGAGAGUAACUGUUCGUGCAGUGACGGUAUCUGGCCAGAAAGCCACGGCUAACUACGUGCCAGCCGCCGCCGUAA
rnacentral:rRNA from 1 species